GAUGAACGCUGGCGGCGUGCCUAAUACAUGCAAGUCGAGCGAACAGACGAGGAGCUUGCUCCUCUGACGUUAGCGGCGGACGGGUGAGUAACACGUGGAUAACCUACCUAUAAGACUGGGAUAACUUCGGGAAACCGGAGCUAAUACCGGAUAAUAUAUUGAACCGCAUGGUUCAAUAGUGAAAGACGGUUUUGCUGUCACUUAUAGAUGGAUCCGCGCCGCAUUAGCUAGUUGGUAAGGUAACGGCUUACCAAGGCAACGAUGCGUAGCCGACCUGAGAGGGUGAGCGGCCACAGUGGAGCUGAGACACGAUCCAGACACGUGCGGGUGGCAGCAGUAGAAGAUCUUCCGUAAUGGGCGAAAGCCUGACGGUGCAACGCCGCGUGAUUGAUGAAGGUCUUCGGAUCGUAAGACUCUGUUAUUAGGGAGGAACAAAUUUGUAAAUAACUAUGCACGUCUUGACGGUACCUAGUCAGAGGGCGACGGGUAACUACGUG
rnacentral:rRNA from 1 species